GACGAACGCUGGCGGCGUGCCUAAUACAUGCAAGUCGAACGCUGAAGGAGGAGCUUGCUCUUCUGGAUGAGUUGCGAACGGGUGAGUAACGCGUAGGUAACCUGCCUGGUAGCGGGGGAUAACUAUUGGAAACGAUAGCUAAUACCGCAUAACAGUAGAUGUUGCAUGAUAUUUACUUAAAAGGUGCAAUUGCAUCACUACCAGAUGGACCUGCGUUGUAUUAGCUAGUUGGUGGGGUAACGGCUCACCAAGGCGACGAUACAUAGCCGACCUGAGAGGGUGAUCGGCCACACUGGGACUGGGACACGGCCCAGACUCCUACGGGAGGCAGCAGUAGGGAAUCUUCGGCAAUGGACGGAAGUCUGACCGAGCAACGCCGCGUGAGUGAAGAAGGUUGUCGGAUCGUAAAGCUCUGUUGUAAGAGAAGAACGAGUGUGAGAGUGGAAAGUUCACACUGUGACGGUACCUUACCAGAAAGGGACGGCUAACUACGUG
rnacentral:rRNA from 1 species